GGUUUGCCAAUACCAAUGGGGGAAAGCCUUUCCCGUGUCCGAAGCCUGGUGAUCCUUAUUGCCGUUUUCCAGUGAUGACCCCCUUGUGUGCAUAGUUUCAUUCCAAGUAGGUAUUUCAUUCGCUUAUUUAGGCUGGAGGCUUAGUCCAAAAAAUGUACCAUUACCGCUGAAUCAAUUGACGAGCCGCUUGGGCUGCAGCGAACUUGUCUUCAUGAGGGCUCAAAACCUCCAUCGAUGACGACUGCUGUUUUGCCAGGGAGCCAUGAACCUGAACUCGAAGGUUGUCGUGGGCGAGUGGUCAGGGCGAUAGACUAGAAUCCAUUGGGGGUCUCCCUGCGCAAUUCCAAAUUGGUCUGUUCUUUAGAUAGGUCUCUUUUUUCCCUUCCAAUGUUGGAACAUAAGCAAGCGAUGGUGGUAUAGUGGUGAGCAUAGCUGCCUUCCAAGCAGUUGACCCGGGUUCGAUUCCCGGCCAUCGCAGGUGUUUUCCUCUGUAUCACUUACACUAUCUUAAAGUCUUUAGGUUCAAACCGCCAGUCGGUCUUUCGUCAGGGACAGGUUUGCGAAUACCAAUGUGGGAAAGCCUUUCCCGUGUCCGAAGCCUGGUGAUCCUUAUUGCCAUUUUCCAGUGAUGACCCCAUAGACCCCCUCCAUAGUUUCAUUCCAAGUAGGUGUUUAAUUUGCUUAUUUAGGCUGGAGGCUGAGUCCAGAAAAUGUACCAUUACUGCGGAAUCAAUUGACGAGCCUCUUUGGCUGCAGUGAACUUGUCUCCAUGAGGGCUCAAAACCUCCAUCGAUGACGACUGCUGUUUUGCCAGGGAAGCAUGAACCUGAACCUGAACUCGAAGGUUGUCGAGGGCGAGUGGUCAGGGCGAUAGACUAGAAUCCAUUGGGGUCUCCCCGCGCAAUUCCAAAUUUGGUCUGUUCUUUAGAUAGGUCUCUUUUUUCCCUUCCAAUGUUGGAACAUAAGCAAGCGAUGGUGGUAUAGUGGUGAGCAUAGCUGCCUUCCAAGCAGUUGACCUGGGUUUGAUUCCCGGCCAUCGCAGGUGUUUUCCUCUGUAUCACUUACACUAUCUUAAAGUGUUUAGGUUCAAACCGCCAGUCGGUCUUUCGUCAGGGACAGGUUUGCCAAUACCAAUGGGGGAAAGCCUACCCGUGUCCGAAGCCUGGUGAUCCUUAUUGCCGUUUUCCAGUGAUGACCCCCUUGUGUGCAUAGUUUCAUUCCAAGUAGGUAUUUCAUUCGCUUAUUUAGGCUGGAGGCUGAGUCCAAAAAAUGUACCAUUACCGCUGAAUCAAUUGACGAGUCGCUUUGGCUGCAGCGAACUUGUCUUCAUGAGGGCUCAAAACCUCCAUCGAUGACGACUGCUGUUUUGCCAGGGAGCCAUGAACCUGAACCUGAACUCGAAGGUUGUCGUGGGCGAGUGGUCAGGGCGAUAGACUAGAAUCCAUUGGGG
ensembl:lncRNA